rnacentral:lncRNA from 1 species
CAGUGCUCGUGAUUUUGCCAAUCUAUUCAGAAGUUUCUGGUGGGUGUAAGGACUAUGCCCUCAGGAACUUGUCAGCAGGGAAAUAAACGGAAGGGCCUCUAACUUGAACAUUAUGUCAAGAGCCUGAUGUGAAACAGUCAGGAAACCAACUUAGAAGCACAGCUUGACCCUGUAAGCACAGCAAGGCAAGAGGAAAGUUAAAGAAUGACUGGAUCAUUCAGAAGAGACAGAGAGUGGGCAGAAUGCCCGUCAGAUAGGUUCAUUCCUUCAGGAGACCAGGGACCCUGACAGAGAUGGACUCUCUCUCGGCAACAGUUUUCAGCAAUUACCAGGAUAGGAAAGCCAAGCCUGUGUGGUGUUUUUUGCAGGUGAUGAUGGUGAAAAUUAAGGGAGAUGAAAAAGAAAAGUGA